rnacentral:rRNA from 1 species
ACUGCUCAGUAACACGUGGACAAUCUGCCCUUGGGUCUGGGAUAACUCCGGGAAACUGGAGAUAAUACCAGAUAGGUCAUAGAUGCUGGAAUGCUCUAUGGCCCAAAGCUCCGGCGCCCAAGGAUGAGUCUGCGGCCUAUCAGGUUGUAGUGGGCGUAAUGGACCCACUAGCCUACGACGGGUACGGGUUGUGAGAGCAAGAGCCCGGAGAUGGAUUCUGAGACAUGAAUCCAGGCCCUACGGGGCGCAGCAGGCGCGAAACCUUUACAAUGCGCGCAAGCGCGAUAAGGGGACCUCGAGUGUUCCUACCUAGUAGGAACUGUCCAGUUGUCUAAAAAACAACUGUUAGCAAGAGCCGGGCAAGACCGGUGCCAGCCGCCGCGGUAACACCGGCGGCUCGAGUGGUGACCGCUUUUAUUGGGUCUAAAGGGUCUGUAGCCGGUCUAACAAGUUCUUUGGAAAAUCUGGUCGCUUAACGAUCAGGCUGCUAGGGGAUACUGUUAGACUUGGGACCGGGAGAGGCUAGAGGUACUUUAGGGGUAGGGGUGAAAUCCUGUGAUCCUUAAAGGACCACCAGUGGCGAAGGCGUCUAGCUAGAACGGAUCCGACGGUGAGGGACGAAAGCUGGGGGCACGAACCGGAUUAGAUACCCGGGUAGUCCCAGCCGUAAACGAUGCGAGCUAGGUGUCAGUUUUACUGCGAGUAAAAUUGGUGCCGUAGGGAAGCCGUGAAGCUCGCCACCUGGGAAGUACGGCCGCAAGGC